rnacentral:lncRNA from 1 species
GCCAACGCGCCCCGCACCCCCGUGCACUGGCGGGCCCUCCCCUCGGGCGUUGCCUCCCACCCACGCCCGGCGGCACCGCACCCCGAGGCGCUUCACGUCACGGAGCUGCUAGGAGACGGGCGGGGCUCCGGUUCCGGACGGAAUCUCACUCUGUCACCCAGGCUGGAGUGCAGUGGCACAAUCUCAGCUCACUGCAACCUCGACCUCCCAGGUACAAGCAAUUCUCCUGCCUCAGCCUCCCAAGUAGCUGGGAUUACAGGAUCCAGCCAUAUUUGGAGUCUGCUCUACACUGGAACAUCUUUUUUUUUUUUUUUUUAGAUGGAGUUUUGCUCUUGUCGCCCCGGCUGGAGUGCAGUGGUGCGACCUCAGCGAUCUCAGCGAUCUCAGCGAUCUCAGCUCACUACAACCUCUGCCUCUUGGAUUCAAGCAGUUCUCCUGCCUCAACCACCUGAGUAGCUGGGAUUACAGGCGCCUGCCACCACGCCUGGCUAAUUUUUGUAUUUUUAGUAGAGAUGGGGUUUCACCAGGUUGGUCAGUCUGGUCUCGAACUCCUGACCUCAGGUGAUCCACCCACCUCGGCCUCCCAAAGUGCUGGGAUUACAGGCGUGAGCCACCAUGCCCAGCCUACACUUGGGCUUCUUAGGCACAAGAUCCAGUAAGCCCUCCCUCCUCCUCCCCACCCCUUUUUUCUUUACACUAGUGUUUUCUGUAAUCCUGCAACAGAAAGAGUCCUAACUGAUAUAUUUGUGACCAUUUCUAAAAUCUCCAAAAUGUAAAAUUAUACAAUUAAGAAUUAAAAUAAUUUUUUAAAACCAA